rnacentral:tRNA from 1 species
GGAGAAGUACCCAAGAGGCUGAAGGGUCCGCACUCGAAAUGCGGUAGGUCGGGAGUUCCCCGGCGCAUGGGUUCAAAUCCCAUCUUCUCCGUCA